GAUGAACGCUGGCGGCGUGCCUAAUACAUGCAAGUCGAGCGAACAGACGAGGAGCUUGCUCCUCUGACGUUAGCGGCGGACGGGUGAGUAACACGCGGAUAACCUACCUAUAAGACUGGGAUAACUUCGGGAAACCGGAGCUAAUACCGGAUAAUAUAUUGAACCGCAUGGUUCAAUAGUGAAAGACGGUUUUGCUGUCACUUAUAGAUGGAUCCGCGCCGCAUUAGCUAGUUGGUAAGGUAACGGCUUACCAAGGCAACGAUGCGUAGCCGACCUGAGAGGGUGAUCGGCCACACUGGAACUGAGACACGGUCCAGACUCCUACGGGAGGCAGCAGUGGGGAAUCUUCCGCAAUGGGCGAAAGCCUGACGGAGCAACGCCGCGUGAGUGAUGAAGGUCUUCGGAUCGUAAAACUCUGUUAUUAGGGAAGAACAAAUGUGUAAGUAACUAUGCACGUCUUGACGGUACCUAAUCAGAAAGCCACGGCUAACUACGUG
rnacentral:rRNA from 1 species